rnacentral:rRNA from 1 species
CCCAGUGAAUAUAUUAACGGCCGCGGUAUCCUAACCGUGCAAAGGUAGCAUAAUCAUUUGCCUCUUAAUUAGGGGCUAGUAUGAAUGGAUAUAUGAAAUUAAAGCUGUCUCUUUUCUUUUAAUAAAAAUUGUCUUACAGGUGCAGAGACUUGUAUUUUAAUGAAGGACAAAAAGACCCUAUCGAGCUUUAUCUUUAAUGAGAUAUUUGUGAUAUAUUUACUUUAUAACUCUAUUAGAUUUGGUUGGGGCGACAAAGAAAUAUAUAAAUCUUUCUUUAUAAUUUUGAAUAAUAUUUCUUACGGGUGAUCUUAAUAAAAGAAAGAAGAAAUAGUUACCGUAGGGAUAACAGGCUAAUCCUUCCGGAGAGUUCAAAUUGAUGGGAGGGGUUGGCACCUCGAUGUUGGCUUAAGAUAUCCUAUAGGUGUAGCAGCUUAUAAGGGUUGGUUUGUUCAUCCAUUAAAAUCUU